UUUUCUUAGUUUGCUGUAAUCAAACUGGCCUAUAAUUUUGUAUGUUUUUACAAAUUAUAAAAUGGCAUAAAUGCAUACAAUAUGUUUUUUUAGAUUCAACAAAGGUUCCUGUUAAUGCUGUUCAUGGAUGUCAGCCCGUGGCAUCGUAUCAUAGGUGGGCUGGACAGACGUCAGUCCGACUCUUCCUUCACCACGGUAAGCCCCCAUGGUGGCGGUCCCAGUUGCAUUGGUGAAACUGGCUUCCUCCUGAAUUGCAGUGUGAGCAAAUGAGACCUCAGGCUAGAACCACGUGUCACAGAGGAGGCAGAUGGAUCAACCCUUAAGAAAGCUGCUGAGACUCGGUCUGUCAAGACCAGCGUGGUGAAAACAGAGUGAACGUGGAGAACUGUGGAAUGACGUGAGAGUGAAAAGGUAUCUGGGUGACAAGACAGAAGCGAUCUUUACAUGGGAGGUCUAGCAGAAGAAUUAUAAAUAGAAGAAGACUUGUGCAAAUGUUCUUUUCCGUUGUUUUUCUUGGGUCACAUGUAGCUAGGACAGUAAGACAUUUCUCAGGUAGCAUCCCUCCUUGGAGUGGACCAGGCUGCUUUUGAAAAGCCAGGUGGGAGAGAACCAGAGAGGGGCCCAGUGUGGGCGACAGUCAUGCUUGAAGGGACCACACGAGGCUGUAACAUGCAUGCAUGAUGUGGUCUAAACCACCAAGAUAGAAAACCCUGUAAGUGAAUUGACAAUAAAAUUAUAAAGAGCAUAUAUUUGUUUGGAGAAUCCUUUGGGGUCGUGAGCAUAGCAUGAUUUCUGAAUUUAGUAAUACUGUCUUUCUUUUCAUCUAUCACAACCAAAAUGAAAUACAACUAUAUUUACCCUUUUAAAUAACCAUGUCUGCUUUUGGGACAUAGCUCUACUCUGUGAGCAAGAAAGGGUGAAAGAAAGAUGGCUAGAAAUAGAUAAAUAUACACACACACACAAAUCCAUAUGUACUUACAUUAAUAUAUAUUUGACAGUGAGAUUUAAUAUUUGCUGGCAUUUAUUUCAAUGUUUUUCUUUCUCUUAAAAGACUGAGGUUGAUUUUCCGAAUGAUUUAUCCCUGUGGCUCAUGCUAAUACAU